rnacentral:sRNA from 1 species
GACCCCAGUGAGUUCAGGCCUCGGCCUCGGCAGGUAGCAGGAGUGGUGGCGUCCUCGUCCUCAGCCUCGAGCAAGCAACUAGGUAUGCAUCUGGGCAUGCUGUGGGUAUUGAUUUGGGUAUCAAUAUGUGAUUUGGACAGAGCCGACUCGAAUUGAGCUUCUUUCUGUUUUGUGAUAUAAAUCGAGGCUUAGGAGACACUGGCAAUGUGAUCCUAUUAAGGUUGGCUGGACUUUUGGAUUUGUGUGAUUUUUUUUCUUUCCUUGUUUUCCCUUUUCUAAGUAACUAUAGAGCGUGCACGUGCAAGGCACGUUGAUACAUAGAAUGACAGCUCACUGAAAAUUCAGUUCAUCCUUAGACCAUUCUGUAAAGGAGAAGCUUAGCAAACCGUUUCUUCAGCUAUGAAAUGAUAAAUCAAAAUAAACAGAGUGAUGUAAGUUU